UGGGGAAUUUUACGCAAUGGGGGAAACCCUGACGUAGCGACACCGCGUGAGCGAAGAAGCCCUUUGGGGUGUAAAGCUCUGUCGGCUGGAACGAAAAAAAUGACGGUACCAGCAAAGGAAGCAUCGGCUAACUACGUGCCAGCAGCCGCGGUAAGACGUAGGAUGCGAGCGUUGUCCGGAUUUAUUGGGCGUAAAGAGUUCGUAGGCGGUUUGGUAAGUUUGAUGUUAAAGAUCGGGGCUCAACCCCGGGAGUGCAUUGAAUACUGCCAGACUGGAGUAUGGUAGAGGCAAGUGGAAUUCCCAGUGUAGCGGUGAAAUGCGUAGAUAUUGGGAAGAACACCGGUGGCGCAAGCGACUUGCUGGGCCAUUACUGACGCUGAGGAACGAAAGCUAGGGUAGCGAAUGGGAUUAGAUACCCCUGUAGUCC
rnacentral:rRNA from 1 species